rnacentral:rRNA from 1 species
CACGUAGGGCGCGAGCGUUGUCCGGAAUUAUUGGGCGUAAAGAGCUCGUAGGCGGCUUGUCGCGUCGAAUGUGAAAACCUGCAGCUCAACUGCGGGCUUGCGGUCGAUACGGGCAGGCUAGAGUUCGGUAGGGGAGACUGGAAUUCCUGGUGUAGCGGUGAAAUGCGCAGAUAUCAGGAGGAACACCAGUGGCGAAGGCGGCAUCCUGGCCAUGUCCUGACGCUCAGGGGCGAAAGCGUGGGGAGCAAACCGG